AAUAAGAGAAAGUCAUCUAUAUGAAAAAUUGCCAUUAAUGUAUUCAUUAUUGCUGUUUAAUCUUGAUUGUUUAAUCAUUUACACUCCAAACUGACACGCAGCCAGUAGUUUUGGAGUAUGGAGUGAAAGAGAGUGGGGAAUGGUUGGAGCAGUUGCUGUGUAUCACUAGGCAUAGACAACUGGUUGGAGGUGGCAAAGAAGUUCUACUUCCGCAAGACAUAGCACUGGUUAUUGUUUUGACUUUUCAAUAUGCGUUUACAACUUCAGUUAGGAGGCUUGCUUGGCAGUUGGCGGAGCUGCUACGCCUUGUCUUCUUAGGCCUGCAGCGUGCAUGGAAGGAUGUGUCAAUGUCAAGGGAUGGACAAGGCGGCAAUGUUCUGAGAUAAUAUACGAAAUCUGGCUUGUUGGUGGACAUGAAAAUGACUUCUUGACGUGCAAUUUUUGCUCUCACAACAAUCACUCGCCCUUGCCAGAGGAAAUAUCGUCAACUUGUACGUGCGGACAAAACUGACAUCUUCGCACAUCCUUUCCCAGUGGUGCAUUACAUCUUCAAAAUGGCUUACGUGAUCAGCAAUCCAAAACUCAACUGCUUCUCAGUUGCUGAUGCUCAAAAGGAAGUUGGAACCAUCAUAUCUUACACUUCAAUGGAUACAGAAAUAAGGUAAAGAUAUGCAAGCAUCAAUUUAAGAACUAUCCCAGGUAACAGCAGAAAAGAAAAUCUCAACGGCAGAUGUAACUUACAUGAAGGCGAUGGUGCAAGUGAUGGAGAAACCAAGCCUUCUACCCUUGCCUUGUCCUGUCCUGGACUGGGAGCAUAUGAUACUUUGGGUUUAGGUGACAGAUCUGGAGGCAACUUGAAAGUGGGACCCAUAUGAGGGGAGUUUGGAGUAGCCACUGCAGGUGAGAAGGCAGGAGGAACAGCUGGGUUAUCGUGAGAAGCCAGUGAGGGGCUUGGAGAAUUUGUGAAACCAAGAUAUAGACAGGGACGAGGAGGAUGUGCAGGUGAGCGGUGCUUAAUGUUAGGCGAGGAUGUUGGAGAGGUAUGCGAAGAUAGAGCAGGAUAUGGUGAAAUUGAUGGAUAAUCACCUAGUUCUGGAGAUGGAGAUGGAGAUGGAGCUGGAGAAGGACUAGGAGGGGUGACAUUGAGAGUACCCUUUAUAUAAGAAGAUAAAAUGAUGCUUUUAACUUUACCAAAAACUGUGUUAUUAAGACCAAGAUUUUGUGCUGGAGAGCCAGUGAUAAUUUCAGCCAACUGCUUCAAUCUCCGUGGCAAAAGGCUCCCGAGAUCUGACAUGACUGAAGCCUGAACUGUCACUGGGGAGCUAUUGUGGAGCCAACCUUGUUUGUUAUCUGGAUAUACAAAGUCUGCAUGGAAACAAACGGUCAUUACCAAAACAGAUGCUUACAUAAGGGUAUCAGACUAUCAGUGGGGUCCCAGCAUGUCAGACUACCUAGUUCAACUGAAACUGAAUAUUAAUAUCUAUUGCCGUGUCUGUAGUGUGAUGGAUAUGAGUCCAUGAUUUGGUACUCGGUUCACACAUCUGGAACCAAGAACGAUUUUAGUACUACUAUAAUGUAGCUACCUGAAACAUGUAAACUUUUCUUUGAUAAGUUA